rnacentral:rRNA from 1 species
UACGAAGGGGGCUAGCGUUGCUCGGAAUUACUGGGCGUAAAGCGCACGUAGGCGGCUUUCUAAGUCGGAGGUGAAAUCCUGGAGCUCAACUCCAGAACUGCCUUCGAUACUGGAGAGCUUGAGUCCGGGAGAGGUGAGUGGAACUGCGAGUGUAGAGGUGAAAUUCGUAGAUAUUCGCAAGAACACCAGUGGCGAAGGCGGCUCACUGGCCGGGUACUGACGCUGAGGUGCGAAAGCGUGGGGAGCAAACAGG